rnacentral:rRNA from 1 species
GCCGGAUUAAUACCGCAUACGAUCCAUGGAUGAAAGCGGGGGACCUUCGGGCCUCGCGCUAUUGGGGUGGCCGAUGGCGGAUUAGCUAGUUGGUGGGGUAAAGGCCUACCAAGGCGACGAUCCGUAGCUGGUCUGAGAGGACGACCAGCCACACUGGGACUGAGACACGGCCCAGACUCCUACGGGAGGCAGCAGUGGGGAAUUUUGGACAAUGGGCGAAAGCCUGAUCCAGCAAUGCCGCGUGUGUGAAGAAGGCCUUCGGGUUGUAAAGCACUUUUGUCCGGAAAGAAAUCCUUCGAGAUAAUACCUUGAGGGGAUGACGGUACCGGAAGAAUAAGCACCGGCUAACUACGUGCCAGCAGCCGCGGUAAUACGUAGGGUGCGAGCGUUAAUCGGAAUUACUGGGCGUAAAGCGUGCGCAGGCGGUGAUGUAAGACCGAUGUGAAAUCCCCGGGCUUAACCUGGGAACUGCAUUGGUGACUGCAUCGCUGGAGUAUGGCAGAGGGGGGUAGAAUUCCACGUGUAGCAGUGAAAUGCGUAGAGAUGUGGAGGAAUACCGAUGGCGAAGGCAGCCCCCUGGGCCAAUACUGACGCUCAU